GCCCCCAAAAAUCCCUUCAAGGUUAUCCCCAAACCCUGCUGCCCUUUGGAAUCAGUUCCUGAAAACCCAUUUGGCGUCAUCUCCAAAUGUCUUUGGGGUCAGCCCCGAAACCCCAAACCACAUGCGCUGCCCCACACUCCAACCCUUUUUAUUCACUCAGCAAGGAUGGGGAGCUAUGGGUGACAGCUCCAGUGGGGGUUCCCAAAUCCCCCCGACCCCAAAAGGAGGGGGCCUGUGGGGUCAGAGCACCUCGUCGCGCCGUGCUGCCAGCAGUGCUGCCUGCUGAGCCUGCCAGUGCCGGCGCCGCUUCGUCCGCGGCCGCAUGAACUCCACCACGUCCAUGGGGACCCGCACCGUAUCCAUCCCAUUCACCGUCACGUCGCACCAAUACUCGCCCCAGCGGGUGAUGGGUUCAUCCGGCAGCUUCAGCGCAUGGGGUGGCACCGACACCCGCAGGUUCUUGAGGAAGUGCCGCGCCACGAUGGCGGUGCUCAGCUCCCAGUUCACAUUGUUCUUCAUGCCCACCUCCAGGCGGCAGCUUCGCAGGAACUGCAGGGUCCUCUCUCCGCUCUGCGUUUGGAUCGCCUCCAUCUGCCCUUCCUGGCUUUGCUUCUCCUCUUCGAACAGCCGGCGGUUCUCAGGUGAUGCAUACACAGCCAAGCCCUGCGGCAGCAGCCGGUUGCGCCCCACAGACUUCUUCACAGAAACGAUGUCCCCACGGCUCCCCAGACCCUCCACCGCCUGCGUCAGGAUCAGCUCCAGCUCCCCGCGCGGCAGAUGUUUGCCGUCCUCCACCAGUCGGUACACGCGGUACCGCCGGUGCCGGGCGCGGGGGGGCCGCCCCUCUUUGCUGAGCGGCACCUUCCACCACCGUUCCACCACCACCGUGUCCCGCGCAUGGCUCAGGCUCAAGGCCCGCCCCGCCGCCCCGAGCAGCAGCUCGCAGCCCCGCGCCCACAGCGGGCCCAACAUGGCGGCGCCCAGCCCGAGGACCCCCGC
rnacentral:lncRNA from 1 species